rnacentral:rRNA from 1 species
GUGCAGCAGGCGCGAAACCUUCGCAAUGCGCGAAAGCGUGACGAGGGGAAUCUGAGUGGCUUCGCACCGCGAAGCCUUUUGCUGAGUGUAUAAAGGCUCGGCGAAUAAGGGGUGGGUAAGACGGUUGCCAGCCGCCGCGAUAAUAACCCCGCCCCGAGUGGUGGCCGCUUUUAUUGGGCCUAAAGCGUCCGUAGCCGGCCUGGAAAGUCCACAGUCAAAGCCUACUGCAAACAGUGGAAUUGCUGUGGAUACUAUCAGGCUAGGGACCGGAAGAGGCCGGGGGUAUGGCCAGGGUAGGGGUUAAAUCCGUUAAUCCUGGCAGGACCACCUGUGGCGAAGGCGCCCGGCUGGAACGGCUCCGACGGUGAGGGACGAAAGCUAGGGGAGCGAUCGGGAUUAGAUACCCCGGUAGUCC